UACGUAAGGACCGAGCGUUGUCCGGAAUCAUUGGGCUAAAAGGGUACGUAGGUGGUUAGAAAAGUUAGAAGUGAAAGGCUAUAGCUCAACUCUAGUAAGCUUUUAAAACUGUUUAACUUGAAAAAUGGAAGGGAUAGUGGAAUUCCUAGUGUAGCGGUGAAAUGCGUAGAUAUUAGGAGGAAUACCUGUUGCGAAGGCGACUUUCUGGCCAUUAUCUGACGCUGAGGCACGAAAGCGUGGGUAGCAAACAGG
rnacentral:rRNA from 1 species